UGACGGUACCUGACUAAGAAGCCCCGGCUAACUACGUGCCAGCAGCCGCGGUAAUACGUAGGGGGCAAGCGUUAUCCGGAUUUACUGGGUGUAAAGGGAGUGUAGGUGGUUUGGCAAGCCAGAUGUGAAAGCCCGGGGCUCAACCCCGCGGACUGCAUUUGGAACUGUUAAACUUGAGUGCAGGAGAGGAAAGUGGAAUUCCUAGUGUAGCGGUGAAAUGCGUAGAUAUUAGGAGGAACACCAGUGGCGACGGCGGCUUUCUGGACUGUAACUGACACUGAGGCUCGAAAGCGUGGGGAGCAAACAGGAUUAGAUACCCUG
rnacentral:rRNA from 1 species